rnacentral:lncRNA from 1 species
AAUUUUUAUGACGCCAAAAAGUUUCCCCUCAUCAGUUCUCACACAUUUGAUUCCACUGGUACACCAUAUAAUGUUUCUAGGAUUCUUAAUGAUGCAACCUUUGACAUUGAUAUGGAUGCUUAUAACAAUUACAGUAAGCUCUAUCUUAGUAUCACAUUUGCAUUUGAUUAUGGAUUGUGCUUCGCAACUCUCACAGCCACCAUCUCUCAUGUUUUCCUCUUCCAUGGAAAGUAUGUUUUUGUUGAUCCUACAAUCGUAUAUUAUGUAUUAUUGACGCAUUUUUUUAUGAUAAACCAUCUAACUAUAUAUAUACUCUGGUGACUGUGAAUUUGAAAGAACGAUUAAUCAGAUGUGGAGAAAGACAACAGAUGCACUAAAAGAACAAGCUGGAGACGUACAUACAAGAAUCAUGAAGAGAAACUAUGAACAAGUCCCUGUGUGGUGGUCCAUAACCAUUUUGUUUCUUAUGACUAUUAUGGCCUUGAUAUGUUGCGAAGGCUUUGACAAGCAGCUCCAGCUUCCAUGGUGGGGGGUCUUGCUUUCUCUAACAAUUGCAUUGGUUUUCACUUUGCCAAUUGGUGUCAUUCAAGCAACAACAAACCAGGUAAUAUUUCAUCUUAACCCUACGUUUCCUAGGGGGGGAGGGCCUCUACUAACCAGAAGGUUUUGAUUGUCCAACACAAGUAGGAAAAAAAAAUCUAAAACAUGUUGUGCCUUUGUUUUGCAGCAAGCUGGACUGAAUGUGAUCACAGAGUUGAUUAUUGGGUACCUGUAUCCUGGAAAGCCCCUUGCUAAUGUAGCCUUCAAGACUUAUGGAUACAUCAGCAUGUCACAAGCACUUGGUUUCCUUCAAGACUUCAAAUUAGGUCACUACAUGAAAAUUCCUCCUAAAUCUAUGUUCAUAGUACAAUUGGUAGCAACUUUGGUUUCUUCAAGUGUAUACUUCAUGACAGCAUGGUGGCUUCUAACAACUAUUCCAAACAUAUGUGAUGAAUCAAUGUUGCCAGAGGGUAGUCCAUGGACUUGUCCUGGUGAUGAUGUGUUUUACAAUGCUUCAAUUAUAUGGGGAAUAGUAGGUCCAAAACGGAUGUUCACCAAGGAUGGAAUUUACCCCGGAAUGAAUUGGUUUUUCCUCAUAGGUCUACUUGCGCCUGUUCCAGUGUGGCUGCUAGCUCGCAAAUAUCCCAAUCACAAAUGGAUUGAACUCAUCAACAUGCCACUUAUAAUUGCUGCUGCCAGUGGAAUACCACCGGUUAGAUCAAUAAAUUAUAUUUCAUGGGGAGUUGUUGGAAUCUUCUUCAAUUUCUAUGUUUACAAACGUUUCAAGUCGUGGUGGGCUAGACACACUUACAUCCUCUCGGCAGCUUUAGAUUCUGGCAUUGCUUUUAUGGGUGUGUUGCUCUAUUUUUCACUUCAAACUUAUGAUAUCUUUGGUCCAACAUGGUGGGGUCUUGAAGGAGAUGAUCACUGUCCCUUGGCUAAAUGCCCUACAGCUCCUGGUAUUGUUACCAAGGGAUGUCCUAUCUUUUGAACUCCAUAUUUGCACUCAUUGGUCAUGAAAAUAUACACAAAUCUGAUGAUGAUUCAAAGUCUGCUACGAUGCAAUGCUAUAACAUCACUAUAGCAGUUGCUUGACAACACUUUGUAUUAAAUAGUGUAUCGUUGAAUAUCCGUCAUUUGACAACAUUGUAAUUAACAUGUUUUCUACUUUGUACUUUCCAUAUCUUUGCCAAUUGUAUAAACUGUUACGAAGUAUAAAACUGUACAGAUUGCAGAAUUGUUUCAGUAUACCAUUUCUUUGAUUCUAUCUAAUCCAUUGAAAUUUGCAACCAUUUGCAAUCUGUUUGAACCAAUUCACAAUGGCCACAAGCAUAAUGGUUGGAAGCUGAAAAUAGUGAAUGACACAUUCUCAUAACUUCAAAGAGUUGUUGAUUCUUACCCAAAUCUAUGUAAAAAUUAUAUUCAAGGUACUGAAUAGCAACUAGCAAGGAUCUACUACUGGAAAUUAUCAUCAGUGUGUAUCUAUCUGUCAUGAUUUUUCCAAGGUUAUACAACUUUGCACAAAACCAAUAGAAGUGUUACUUUCCAAAAUUACGCUAUAGUAGAAAUUCUAAUUGAAAUUCUUGCUCCCAAAAUGGUGGCUUGUCACACUUUACCUUACACUUAUGCUGUUUUUUGUUGUCAUAGCCAAGAAAGUGAGAAUAGGGUGUAUAUAGAGUUUCAUUAGUUUGUGAAAAUGGAUAUAAAGUGGAAGCUAUGGCGGUUUGUCACUUGGAUACAUCACAAUGGGCACCUAGUCAUGUUUCAUUUCAAGUUCUUGGGGUUACCCCAAGAAGCUCUUUUGGGUGCCAUAAAUUCAAAUUCUGAGUUCUGACACUUGAGGUGUUAGUUCAGUGAUAAAGUUUUCUCUUAAAAUCUUAAGAUGUCGAGUUUGAAUCAUGUUAUAGAGAUAGUUGUAAAACUGUCAUUAGUAUCACUUGAAUUAAUAAAAAAAAAAAAAUCACAAGCUUUUUCUAGCAUGUGACUUGUAUAUUACUAAUGUGCUUGUAAUUUGUGUUUAUGUGCCUCCAUGCUGUUAAAAAGAAGUAAUUGUGUUGUAAUGUGAAAUAAAUUUCUUAUCGGUAUAUAUGUAAGUCUCUGCUUUUAUAAUUUUGUUUGAAUCCUGAUGUUAUGCUUGUUAAAUGUGUAAUUCAAAUGGCUUAUGUUUGUUACAGUAGUUAGUUAGUUAUUUUACAAGUAGUAACUAUAGUUAGUUAGUUUAGAGUUUGUUAGCUAUAGUUAGUUGGGCUUGAUGCACUUACUUGUUAUCCAAGUAACAAGUAUAUAAGUCUCGUAAAAAUAAAAUUUUAUCAAUUAAAUGCAUUUACUUUUUUCUUUUAUCUUCAUUCUUUGAUUCCACAAUCCUAAUUUCACAAAUCAUCUCCAACAUAUUGGUAUCAAGAGCAAUCUGAUUUGAUCUUUCUGCACGUGGUGUUGAUUAGUUCAUGAUGAAUACGAACAUUCAAACACAGUUACCAAAAUUGAAGGGUGCUAAUUGGGAUCGAUGGAAUAUUUAGAUGCAAGCAAUCUUUGGUUUUCAAGAAGUGUUAGAUGUGAUUCAGAACGGCUAUGCAGUCAUUGGUGAUGAAGGAACUGAAGCACAAAGAACAACAUAUAGAGCUAACAAGAAGAAAGAUUGCAAGGCGAUUUAUUUCAUUCAUCAAAGUGUUGAUGAGAUAAAUUUUGACAAGAUCUCAACCUGUACAACUGCAAAAGAGGCUUGGGACACAUUAGAGAGGUGUCCCACUGGUGGACAAAAAGUGAAGAAAGUGAAGUUUCAAGCCUUAAGAAGACGGUACGAGCAUCUGGAGAUGAAAGAUCACAAGAAAAUUGAAGAGUUAUUCAAAAGAGUUAAAGUGAUUACAAAUUCUAUGGCACAAAAUGGUGAGGUAAUUUAUGACCAACAAUUUUGUGAAAAGAUUCUAAGAUCUUUGCCCCCGAGAUUUGAUUACAUAGUUUGCACAGUAGAAGAGACAAAAGAUAUAGCAACUAUGACACCUUGAACAAUAGGGCGGAGUGGGGCGGGGAUGAGUUUUGUUACUUUUUUAUUAAAAAAUGAGGUAAGAGUCGAAAACUAUUUUGUUUCGACAAUAUGAUUUUUUUAACCAAAGAAUAUAAAUAGAAAAAACAACUUUAUUUAAUAUUCAACUUAAUAAUAAAAACAAACAUAUGAAUAUAUUUUUUUUUAUAAACCGAAGGUAUAUAUCCUCUGCGAGCAACUGCAGAAACUAAUUCCAUCGAGAUAAUUGAGAUCAAUUUAAGGGGUUGACCUCUUCCAUCAACAUAUGAAUAUAAUUUAAGACUUUGUUUAAGGUUUUAUGAAUUAAGAUAUAUGUAAAGUGUAAUUAGAUAUAUGUUGGGCGGGUUCGGGAUGGGUUCGGGCGAAGGUGUAAACUUGGUUAUCAUUCAAUUGUGGAACCCUUCCAUUAGAAAAUUUAAAGAAUUGCCCUCUAUUAGUCAACCACAAAAUUACGUUGCUUGGUUUUAUGGAUUCGGAUAUGACCAAAUUAGUGAUAAUUACAAGGUUGUGGUUGUUUUUGAUAAUAGUACUCGUAGCAGAAAUGAAGUGAAGGUUCAUACUUUGGGUACCGAUUCAUGGAGAAGCGUUUCAGAGUUUCCUUUUUAUAUUGUCUAUGCUCAACGAUCGGGGCAAUAUGUGAGUGGCACAAUUAAUUGGUUGGUUUUUACGGGUAUCAAGUGGUUUAUUGCUUCUUUUGAUUUGGGGAGUGAGUGUUUUCAAUAGGUUUUGCUACCUGGUGAGGGAUUGCUUGUGCAUGAUUUCUGGUGGAGAUUGCUUGUGCAUGAUUUCUGGUGGAGAUUUUUGGCUUAUGAAGGAAUAUGGAAAUAAAGAGUCUUGGACUAAAUUGUUCACUAUUUCUUGCAUUCGAGAACCUUGUACAUCAUCUUAUCCCCCUAUUAAGGCAGUAUGUGUUUUUGAGGAUGAACAGGUGCUGCUGAUAUAUAUAGGGGAUAAGAGAUGGGAGCAUAUGUUUUACAAUCAUAAAAAUGACACUUCAAAGUUUAUUGAGUUCGAAAAGACCCCAGAAGUCCUCUGCGUUGAGAGUUUGAUAUCACCUUGUUUUUAAUGCUAGGAUGUGUAUGCACUAUGCAGUGCUAUGUCACUUGAGCAUUAGAUUUAAAUAGCAACUAUAUGGUUAAUUUCUGUUUAUGAUAUUUAUUUUGCACUUGUUCUUCUGAUUAUUGGUUAAUCACUCUUAAUUAUUUCUCAUUUGAAUAUGUAGCGUGAGAAAUUAUAGUUAUUUUCAUUUGUUUAUUUGUUUGAAGUUUUUAUUUUAGUCAUGCAUUUCAUUUUAUAUAGUUUAUUGUCAUACAGUCAUGUGUUACUUUAGAUUGUUUGAGGUUAGAAUUGAUAAGAUCACAAAUAGGAGUUAGAUGUUAUAACAAGUGAUCACUUUGUUUGUUGAAAUGUAUGCUUUGAACUUCGUGAAUUUCGUAAUGUAUACUUCAAAUCUUAAACAAUACCUUAUGAAGUGAACAAAUCAAAUGUCAUCAUGCCCUGGUUCUUUGAGAAGGUUAAGAGAGCAAAAGAAUUACUCAGAGUUAACAUAAGCCAGGUACGUCCUUUGUGCGUGUUAUAGUCCUGAGACAUUUUCUGCAUAAGUUUUGCAUUCAUAGCUGAUAUGAAUGUUUUAAACCUUAAAAUGGUAUGUUGGAAAGGUUUCAAAUGUUGGAAUGUUAAUGCUUGGUUGCAAGAUUAAAUUGUCAUUGUUAAAUAGUGAUUGACCCACCAUGUAUUAAGAUAUUUCCCAUUGUAAAUUGUAACUGGCUUGUCUUUGUUAACCUUUGAAGCACCAAUACUUCUAAAUAGUUUUGACAGUUUCGACAUUGUUAAAUAGCCUUUGAAACUGUCAAAAAACGAACAUAUAUAUAUAUAUAUUUCCUAUUGGUCUUUGUUUUUUGACAGUUUCGACAACAUAUGCCAACCACUUAAAACGUCGUUUGCUUGACCAAAAACCCGACUCGAUAUCUAAGACAUUAUCUCGUACUGUUGUUGUGUUGCUUCCAAAUACUCCAAACAAUGGAUGCGAAUUGUGCAGAUUCUACACUGGACAACUGUGUGAAUUCGUCUUAAAAUCACACCAAUGAAUAAUUUGAUGUGUGGAGCAAUAGAACGGCAACUAAUAACAAGCGGAAUAAGCAAUAAUAAUAACAACCGAUAAAAGAUCAAGAGAAGAAAGAACACAAUGUUUGUUUCGGUCCAAUAAUACCUAGUCUGGGGAGAGAGCAGUCUCUCUGUUCCACUAUAUCAAAGAGUAACCUUACAAAGAAAUUCUCAAUUGGGUUACAAGAGUUAAUCAUAAUUCUACCCAAAACCCGAAUCUCUUCCCGCGUGGCCAAGAGACUCAAUUUGAUAAGUGUUUCACAAGUGUACUACAAAGAUAGUUUGCCCACCCUAGAGUUGUACCAAGAGAAAACUCAUUUUCCUCUCUAAAACUCUAGCCUUGUGUGGUGGCAAACCCUAAUCCUUGCCUCUACAUCUCUACUCUCUUAUUUUUCCAUGAAUAAAGCACUCCCUAUUUAUAGAAAAAUAUAUGCCUAAAAACUAGUAACAAAUCUAUUUUAAAAUAAAACAAAUUCAAGUCAGAGUGUCCCAAAAAAAAUCACAAAAUCUGCAAAGAUUUAACACAGAUUUUUCAGAGUUCUUGUAACUGAGAUUUCAAGACAUACUCAACAAAUGUUGGAAAAUUAAGAAAACCACAUUUGACUUAUCACUCUCACGGACAACAACAUAAUGAAUUAUUUGAGAAGCUAUUUGAAGAGUUGAAAAAUUGUCAUCUGUUGCAUCAUGGCAUAAAACACAAUUAUCAUGACAAUUAACCUAGUAACUAUCGGGGAUUAACCCAAAACAAAGAGCACAGAAGAAUGAAAGAUGAAUGAAGAAUGAAUUUGGAAUAAGCAGAAAUUGAAUAAAGGAAAAGUAAAAAUCUUAUUCUUCCACAAAGGGCCUUAUUUAUUUAUAUACAAGUUUGUUACUUCAACUGAAGAUAACUUCCUAACUACCUAGGACAAACAAAAAGUAACUAAAUUACAACAUUACAAAAACUAACUAACUAAUUGCCUCUAAAAGUUAAGAAAACAGAAACGCGCAUCAGAACCAAAACAGAGCUUCAGAGCUUCAGAACUUAUAUCAGCUUCAGAAAUUGUGAGGUUCAGAGGUUAUAUUGCUUCAGAGGCUGAAGCGCUGGUUCAUAGGCUAUAUUGCUUCAGAGCUUGAAUUAUCAAUCAAACCAAUAGUAACCUCCAUGGCCUAUUACUAGGUUAUAUUGUACAUUUUAUAUUUUUCAGACUAAAUAUUCAAAUUAGUUCUUGAUAAUUUCAGCUCGACUUACUGUUAUACCUAACAAAUACAAUACUCAAAUUAGUUCAUGAGAAUUAUAUAAUGGUUGUGAUGCAGGUUUAACAAUAUGUUGGGAGAAUGGUUACAGGAAGAUUAUUUCUUUAUCAGAUUCGUUUCAGGUAGUUAAUCUAAUCUACAGUGGGGUUUCUCCUCAUCACUGCUUUGUUAGUGAGAUUUUGAGCAUUCGACAGCUUAUCACUCGUGACUGAAAGGUGGUUCUCUCUCAUACCCUUCGGGAAGGAAAUUCGUGUGCGGAUGAGCUAGCUAAAAUGGAGGUUGUUGUGAAUACUCCAUUGGUUAUGACUUCAACGCCUCCAAGAACUUUGGCUAAGCAACUUUUUGAAGAUGCUAAUUGUGUAAUUUUUAUCGGGGAGUAGUCUAUCGUGGUGUUUUUUCUUUUUUCCUUUUCUGUUUCUCUUCAUGUAACCAAAAUAAAAAAUUGAUAAACAUAGAAUAAAAUUAUAUAUUGAAAAUUAUUACCUUUUACAUAGUCAAAACCUGGUAAAAAUUAAUGAGAUUAAAAAAAAAGUCAAAAAUAAUAAUUAUUUUCUUAAAAAAAAAUAAUACUCAUACUCACUUUUUAUGUUAAGGUAGUGUUUGGCCUGACUUAUUUUCAACUUUUUUUCCCUACAAAAGUAGAAUUAGGGCCAAACACAUUUUUAUAAAAGCCCUUAUAUAAAAAGUAGCUUAAAUUUUGUUCACAAAAUCUAUAAACAAGUCACUUCUAUAGAAGUUACUUUCAUCAACUUUUGUGGCAACACGUAGCUUCUAGUCACAGUGCUCCCUUCAAACCUUGUCCACAGCAAAAUAUAUCACUUUUAUUUUUAUUUUUUCUUUGCUUGCCCAUUUUUCUUUUUACUGGAAAAACUAUCCCAUUAUAUUAUUUAUUUAUGCCGUAACAAUGAUAUUCAAAUUAAUUUUUGUAUACAAAGUACAAACUUCGUUUCUUACAUUGAAAUAUUUUUCGAAAUAUUUACUUCAUAUAUUUUUUUUACUAUAAUAUUUUCUGAUCAAUUUAUUUUAUAUGUAAAUAAUUUAUUUAUUUUAUAAAAAAAAUCAUAUAAUUUAUUCUCAUAAAAAAUAACAAUAUAAUUUAAUUUGAGCUCGUGACCUCUGCAUACUAUAAUGUUUCUACCAGUUAAGUCGAACUCAGAGCGAUGAACAUGCGUCAAUUCUAUUAUAUUAAAAAUUAAUUUGAUACUAGUAUUAAUAUUUUAUUGAUCAAUUAUUGAUCUGACUUUCCUGACAUCCUAAUAAAACUUCAAAUUACCAACAUUCCCUUAUCUAAGAACUGAGAAUUAAUACAAAAAAAUAAUUUAUUUUUCUUAUUUACAUUUCUUUUAACGUUUCGUAAAUAUUAAAAAAAUAAAUAACUUUUAUUUUAAACAAAAAUAAAUUAAAAAAAAACUUUAUAUCUCAGUUAUUGUGUGUAUUGUAUAUAUAAACACUUUAAUAAUUAAUAAUUUAGAAGAAACUUUAAAUAAAAUAAUAGUUUUUUAGAAAUAUUUUGUCAAAGUCAAACAAUUGUUUUGAAAGUAACUUUUAUGUUACAAAUUUUUUUAGAAAUUCAAACAACUUUAACUUUAUCUUUAAAGUUCCAUUUUGUAACUUUAAGUUGAAAGUAACUUAUAAGUAGAAAAAAAGUCUUGCCAAAUACAACCUAAGUAUUUAAUAUAGUUCUAUCCAUCCUCAUCUUUCAAUCUUAUAUAUAAAGUUCACCACCAUCGGUAAUUUUAUAUCUUUUAUCAUCACAAAAGUUUGUAGUUAACUAUCAUUUGAGAUUAAUUGAGGGAAAAAUUGUUUUUAACAUGAACUUAGUGGUCUUGGGCCUCUUGGCCAUGGUUGUUUUGAUCUCCACAAAUGGGGUAGCAGCAAUGAACUUGCAUGAGACCUCUUCAAUAUAUAAUACAACAGGUCUGUUUGCAUAUAUUAUCUUAUUGUAUGUAUAAUGUAUAUUCUAAUUUUAUUUUUGGUAAGGUGUAUAUUCUAAUUUAAUGAGCUCUCUUAACUUUAUUUGAUUGAACAUAGUUAUAAAUUUUUUAUUUAUAUUCUACCAAAAAAUAUAUAUAUUUAUAGACUAGUUACGGUCUCUCCAAUCUUUUUUAUAAAAAAAAUUCAAUUUUUUAAAUUAAUUGCAUAUUUGAUGUAUCUGAUAAAAAAAAAAAAACUUUUCCAGGAAUUGUUGAUGACAAGUGCAGCAGGUUAAGUAUUCAAAUAAAUCAAUCUCCAUCUCAGCCUCUUCCAAGUGGUAUUCCAACAUACACAGUCGAGAUUGCGAAUACAUGUGUUAGUGGUUGCAACAUCUAUAACAUUCGUGUUGCAUGUGGCAUGUUUAGUUCUGCAUUAUUUAUCGACCAUAGAAAGUUUAGGCGUCUCGGACGUAGUACUACUUGUCUAGUUAAUGCAGGAAAAACUUUUCCUAAUGGAGCUGUUAUUUCAUUUAGAUAUGCUAAUAAAUUUUCUUAUCCACUCUCUGUUUCCCAUGUAAUGUGCGGUUGAUUAUCCAUAUUUUGAUUAAAUGUUACCGUAUGAAUUUACAAAAUAUAUAUGGAUUUAUUCGUCCACAAAUUCUAGCUCAAUUCAUAGGAAUAUGGAUUUGUCAAUAACUUGUCUGUGUGAGUUUUCUAUAACUUGUCAUUUCGUCGGUUAAAAAAAAUAUAUGAAAAGUACAAUUUGGCCCAACUUUUUUUAGGUGUAGAAGCUAUUUUUUUUUUUUUGUUUUCAUCCUCCGGUUCUUAGGGAAAGGGGGCCCUAGUAGUCUAGAGUUCGGGGCGAGUUAUGGCAUCAAGUGAUUUCAGUCCCUUCCCAAAUAUAGUUGCGGGGGAUCGAACCGUGAUCCUCCCUACCAAGUUCAGCAUCAAUCACCACUGAACCAAUUAACAUUUGGUGGUGUAGAAGUUAUUUUAAUCAUAAAGCUUGAAGUAAAAUUUUUGUUUUUAUAAGAAAAAAAUUUAAGGAUUAUUAAAUAUUUUUUUUUUUGGCUUUCACCACCAGUUUAAUCUGGUUCAGGAUCAGUUCUGGCAUGAAGUAGUUUCAGCCCGCUCCCGAUCGCAGUUGUGGGGGAUCGAACCGUGAUCCUCCCUACCAAGUUCAGCGUCAAUCACCACUGAACCAACUUUUUUUACAGCUGCAAGACAAGUAAAAUUUGAUUAAAAAAUUAUUUCAUCUAAAAAUCGAACUCGAGUUCUCCCAAAUGAACCCUUUAUUUUUUGACGAAAAAGAGUUGAUAGCAUUUUAUUUAUAAUAAUAUGUUCAAUAUAAAUGAGUAUGUCAAUCAUCAUACUGAAAACUAGUUUGAGAUAUGGUGUUUUAAAAAAUUCUAAACAAUGUAAAUUGUUUGUCUCCAAGCAAACUUAACACAGGAGAUUUAUAAAAACAGGGGGAAAAUACAUACAACUAUGGAUUAUAAUCUCUUAAUUCAUUAACAUUUUUACGUACUGAUUGACCCAACUUUUUUUAUGUGUAUAAGUUCAUAAAGCUAGAAAUAAUAGUUUUUUAAUUAAAAAUUAAAAUUGUUUGGUAAAUUAUUAUUUUUAUAAAAAAAGUUAAAAGUUGUUUUUUUUUAUUAUAAUAGGGUUAAAAUAUAUGUUUGAUAAAAGUGUUUUUUUAUUAUAAAAAAAAUGUUGAUUUUUUAUGAGUAAUCAAAGUGUUUUUUUACUGUAGCUUUUAAAAAUUGUUGUUUGGUCUAGCUUCUUAUUUUUAAGGAAUAUUUUUAAAGAAAAAAAGAGGAAAAAAAGUUAGGUCAAACGGUACUAAAGUAAAGGAACAGAAACAUCAACAACAAGUUUUGAGUCCAAUUCAAACACCACCAAGCCCAAUUGGCGUACCAACUACCUAGUUAGCGCCGAUAAUAAACCAAAGCUUCACAAAUAUGAAUUGUUCAAUUAAGUACAAACGACUCUGUUUUUUUUCAAGAACAAAAUUGUCAUUCUCAUCUCUAAUACACAUUCCAUUUUUUGGUCUAUUACUAUGAGGCAAAAAGAAGGCGUCAAUGUUACAUUUAAAAGUUUCCCUCAAGUUUUUUCCACCUUAACUCUAGUUCCACACGAGUACACAACUCACGAGAAGCUGAUGUUCGGUUUUUUAUGAAAUUGGAUCUUUCAAUUACUUCAUCCGUCCCACAAUGAGUGACCCAUUUUAAAAAUGUAAAUUAUUCAUAUAUCUUGGUUUGACUAUAUUUUUUACUAAUAAAUAAAAAUAAAUAUCAGUACAUAAGAUGUUGUUAGAUUCUUCUCGAUGAGUAUUUUCAAAAUAUCAAAUUUUUAUAAUUUUUAUUAUUAUACAAUUAAAAAUAUUAAUCGUCAAAAUUAUGCAUCAACAUACGUGAAAGUCUAGUUUUCCUCGUUGGAUCUUGCAAUGACAUCCUUUGUGUUGUAGGCGAAGGUGUAGACUUUGUUCUCAUUCAAUUGUGGAACCCUUCCAUUAGAAAAUUUAAAGAAUUGCCCACUAUUAGUCAUCCAGAAAAUUACCAUGUGUGGUUCUAUGGAUUACAAGGUAGUCAUCCAAAGAAUUGCUAACAUAUAUAAGGGAUAUGAGACCGGAGCAUAUUACUUACAAUCAUAAAAAUGACACUUCAAAGUUUAUUAAGUUCGAUAACACCCGCAAAAGUCUGCGUUGAGAGUUUGAUAUCACCUUGUUUUUAAUUCUAGGAUGUAGAUGCGGUGUUAUGUCACUUUAGCAUUAGAUUUAAAAUAAAACCUAUAUGGUUAAUUUCUGUUUAUGAUAUUUAUUUUGCACUUAUUCUUUUGAUUAUUGGUUACUUCAUAAAUCACUCUUAAUUAUUGAUCAUUUGAAUAUGCUGCGUGAAAAAUUAUAGUUAUUUUCAUUUAUUUAUUUGUUUGAAGUUUUUAUUUUAUAGUCAUGCAUUUCAUUUUAUAUAGUUUACAGUCAUGUGUUACUUUAGAUUAUUUGAGGUUAGAAUUGAUAAGAUCACAAAUAGGACUUAGAUGUUAUACCAAGUGAUCACUUUGUUUGAUGAAAUGUGUGCUUUGAAGUUUGAACUUUACGAAUUUCGUAAUGUGUGCUUCAAAUUAGUUCUCGAUCGGCUCGACUUACUUUAAUUCCUAACAAAUAUAAUACUCAAAAGGUUAUUUUUGAGCUUAUGCAAACAACUUAUGCAAUAUAAAUUAGGUUUUAUGUUAUUUUAUAAGUUUACACUAGUAAAAAUUGUAUUUUUAUAAACUAUUUUAUCAUAAACUAACUCGACAAACUUAUAAUACUCCCUCUGUUUUUUUAUAAGUGUUCAGUUUCAUCGGAUUUAGCGUUUCUAAUUAACUAUCAAGAAUCUGUUUUAAGGAUACGAUUUUUCGAUUAUACCUUUUGUCAAUUAUUCUUAUCUUUAAUUAGCGUUUCUAAUUAACUAAAGUUGUUUUUUAAACAAAGUUUUUUUUUUAUAAAAAGAAAGUUUUUUCAUUUUUUUUAAUAAGAAGAUAAAGUGCAAAAAUUCACUUUCUUAAUUUUAUGUUAUUAUUCUAAUUGGACACUUAUAAAAAACGGAGGGAGUAAUAUAUAAAAAUUGCAUAAGCUGUUUGCAUAGACUCAAAAAUAAGCUAAUCAAAACGGAACAAAAUUAGUUCUUGACAAUUAUAUAUGGGAGUUGUUGACGAGUCCAACUAUAAUGUUCUUGUUACGUAUCUUAAUGUUUUUGACGAGUCCAAUUAUACCUUGUGUUUUAAGAAUUAAUUUGAUUAAAAGGAGAAUAAUUUUGACAAUAAUUAAUUAUUGUCAAAUACCUAAUCCUUUUAGUCAAAUUAAUUCUUUCAAAUUUAUUUUUUUAAAUUUUGGAUAGACACUAAUUUGGAUCAAAUCAAUUUUUUUUUACGGUGGAUCAAAGCAUUUUUUUUUUGUACAUGGAUCAAAUCAAUUUUAAAAAGAAGAAAUUUUGUUUUUUCAAAAUAAAGAAGAAAUAUUCGAAGACAUCAAAUGAAUUUUAAGCGAUCAGAUAAUUGAAAACAAAGUAGCACAAGGAUACUCUCGUAUAAAGGAAAAUUGAAAGAAUUUUUAAUGGAGAGGAUAGAAAAACAUAAUUCGCUAGGGUUAAAGAAAAAAAAAUCGUGAGCUUAUCUCAGUUGGUAGGGACAUCAACAUUUUAUAUGCAGGACAUGGGGUUCGAACCUCGAAUACUCCACUUAUUCACCUUAAAAAUGUCGAAUUUCUAACCACUAGGCUGACUGACAAAAAAAGAAAUCUCUUUUUUUUCCAUCAAUUUUUUUCUUAAGCUAUCUACUUCUAAUAUAGUAAUAAAAUUGAUUACUAUCAAGAAGAGGACCUCUAACCCCAGUGAUCCACCAGUACCUAGUAUGACACCCGAACGAACUCUACCGAACUCCAUUUAGUCUAUUUAUUUGUUUUACAUCAAUAUAGUGAUUAUACUUUUAGCCAAAGUGGAGUGAAGGUUGAUGCUUUGGGUGCCGAUUCAUGGAAAAGCGUUUCAGUGUUUCCUUUUGCUGGUGGUGUCUAUGUUCAACCAUCAGGGCAAUAUGCGAGUGGCGCAAUUAAUUGGUUGGUUUUUACGGAUACCGAGCAAAGUCAAAGUUUUAUUGCUUCUUUUGAUUUGGGCAAUGAGUUUUAUCAAGAGGUUUUGCUACCCGAUGAUUUUUGUGAGGCAGAUUCAAAAACAUUAUUGAGUGUUUGCAGGGAUUGCUUGUGCAUGAUUUCUGGUGAAGAUGUUUGGAUUAUGAAGGAAUAUGGAAAUAAAGAGUCUUGGACCAAUAACUAUAUAAAAUAUUUUCGCUAAAGAAUUUGAACCUCCUUAGUUCUUAAUCACAUUAUCCUCAACUAGCGGGUCAGGCACGCGCCUGCCUGUGUCUAACUUAUGUACCCAAAAAAAAAGAUACGCCUUAUGUUAUGGUGAGUUUGUUAAUAAAAGAUUUUUGUUGCUACUAAAAAAAGCAAGGGUAAUGUUGGUAUUAUGAAAAUUCUACCCCAAAACUCAUGUAUUCUUUUUAUAUAUUAUAGUAUAGAAUAGAUAUAUAUGAAAAAACCAUAAAAAAAAAAAAACAGGAAGUUAAGGGCAAUUUUGGAAUAAUCAAAAAAUCAUAAAGGAAGUUAAGGGCAAAAUGGACCAAAAAAAAUCCAGCCCAAACUCCCUUAUCCCCUUUAUAUAUUGUUAUAGAAUAGUAUAAAAUAGAUAUAGAUGAAAAAACCAUAAAAAAAAAAGAUAGUAAGUUAAGGGCAAUUAUGGAAUAAUUAAAAAACCAUAAAGGAAGUUAAGGGCAAAAUGGACAAAAAAAAAUUCACCCCAAACUCCCUUAUCCCCUUUAUAUAUUGUUAUAGAUUAUAGAUAAAACAUUAACAACAAUAUAAAUUAAGCUAACAACAACUUAAAUUAAGUUCUUAAGAAAACAAAUUAAAUUAAGGAUGCUCUUUUCAUUUUUUUUGUUUUGCAAACCAAUGAUUUUUUUGUUGAAACAUCAUUUUUUUUUUUGUUACAUAAAAGAAAAAAUAAAGAAAAAGCCAACAAAGAUCACUCCCUAAUAAACUCUACACCCCAAACAUCAUCCUAGAGUGGCUUAACCAGAUCUCUAGGAGGAGUAGGAACAUUCACCAAUGGCGAGUCAGAGUUAGCACCUAAUUUAGUCAACACAUCAUCAUGGUACUAUUAUUUAUUUAUUUUUGAACAUCUACACUUUUAUCAAAUAAAAAGAGAAUCUGAACAUCUACACUUUCACACAUGGUUAAGGCCACAUCAAGGAUUCAUUUUCUAUAAUAAGGUCAAAUGAGAGAACCGCGAGCAUACACGCUCACUCACAUCACUAGGCCAACCUCAACAUCAUAAAGUUAUCUUCCAAAGUCAAUAGGCAACAUAGACGUCAUGUCACUGUUCUGAAGUAACCGUGUGGAAAAGUGGCCCAGUCCGCCUCAUUUAGGUCUGACCUGUUUAAGCCCGCCAAAAAAUAGAGUGGGACGGGCCAACUUGGAUAUCCGAACUCAAAAUUCAAAUCUGCCCCAUUUAUUAGCGGAUUGGCGGACCGACCCUUCAAACACUUUUUUUUUAAUUAUUUUUACAGAUUGAUUUAUUACAUAAUUUACAAAAUUAUUAAUCUUACUAAAAUCAAAUAUUUUGAUUUUUCUGAUAUUCUAUAUUAAGGUACAAAUACUAUACAUUUUUAAAAAAUACAGUUUUACAUACCGGUAUCUACACAGUACCAAAUACCGAACUCGUACAUAUAUAUCUUAAUAUAAAAAAGAGUUAACUUUUAAAUAUAUUCAAUAAUUAAUACUAUAUUUGCUAUAUUAAAGACCAAAGAAAAUACUUUCUUCGGUCCUCUAUAUAAGAAGAAGUUUAUUUUCUAUAUUCAUUGUAAAGUUGAUGUAUUUGGACUAUAAUAUUGUCUAGAUACAUCAAGUUUACAAAGAAUCUAAAAAACAAAUUUUUUUUUAUAUAUAUAUAUAUAUAUAUAUAAUCGGAGAGAGUAUUAAAAAAGAGUCGUGCCUCAUAGGAAUUAAUUAGCAUUUUCCAUGGAAAAUAAAUUUUGUGGUACAAGUUUGCGCCAAGAUAAAAACGGGCAGAAAUUAAUGCAUGUGGGACAACUGACAUGUGACAAGUCUUAGAAAUGUUUGGAUUUUCCAAAUGGGAAGGAUAGGAACAUGUUUGUACUAUUGUAGAGCAAUGCUACAGUGAGUCACUCUGACAUUAACAUUAUCUCUAUAAAAGGUUGAAAUUAAGGAGACAGCAUUCUCAUGAGAGAAAUUAUAGAGGGAAGAGAAAUAUCUAACACACAUUUGGUCUGAGUUUCUUCAAGGACAUCCCUGUCUCUGCAAUGGCAGCGGUUAUCCAAGAUACAUUCCAUAUUCUAACUAAGAAGGACUAUGAAUCCAAACUUGCCAUUGCAUGUAAGCCUUUUCUUCUCUCAUUAAUUUAGUUAAUUCUUGUAAAGUUUUGUUUUGUUUUCAAGUAGUCUAGUGGCUAGAAAUUUCACCCUUAAAAGUGAAUAAAUGGAAUAUUCAGGGUUCGAAUUUUGGUUGCAUAUAAAAUGUGGACCAAUUGAGCUAAGUUCACGAGGACAAUAAAGUUUUGUUUUUAUCAAUGGUAUGAAAUUGUAGAUGAUUAGAUGUUUGAAUGGGCGGUGAGUUUAGUAAAAUCACAGUACCAAGUGUGUAGCUUUUGUCAAAAUCGCAUUCUCUUGUAACUGUGCUUAUUUCACCACAAAUACAAACAUAAGUAUGUGGUUAGAUUAUCUAUACCAGCCAUUAGUUUGUAAGAACACAUCAGAUUAAAGACAUGUUUGGUAUCGAAGCGGCACAUAUGAUUGAGUUCAAUUAUUCGAAUUAAUAUUAUCAAUUUUAAGUCUUGUCUGGUGUGUGUGUGUGUGUGUGCGCGUCUAUGUCUAUGUCAAUGCUUCGUAGUUGUUAUUGUUAUAUGUGUAUGAAUCUAAAGCUAGAGAUUCUUUGAUGAAGAUGAUGACGACAAAGAAGUGGAUGAUUCUCCUAUAGAGCAAGUCAGACUAACAGUACCAAUAACAGAUGAUCCUACACAACCAGCACUUACAUUUAGGACAUGGACUAUUGGUUUGGGAUGUUGCGUUAUCCUUUCCUUUGUGAACCAAUUCUUCGGGUUCAGAACAAACCCUCUAUCUAUCUCUUCUAUUGCAGCACAGAUAGUUUCUCUCCCACUCGGUAAACUAAUGGCUGCAACACUUCCAACAACAAUAUAUAAAGUCCCUUUCACUCCUUGGUCUUUCACAUUGAAUUCUGGACCAUUCAAUUUGAAGGAACAUGCUCUGAUAACCAUCUUUGCUAGUGCUGGAUCUAGUGGUGUUUAUGCCAUUGACAUUGUCACUAUUGUUAAGGCUUUCUACCGCAGGAGUAUCAAUCCAAUUGCUGCUUUUUUGCUAGCAUUGUCAACUCAGGUGAACAAUUUUAACCAUUUGCAUUUAUUCAGUUUAAUAUAUCCAACAAAAGAAAAAUAUUAGUUAAAAAUGUGAUUGCUUUUUGUCAUAUUGAAUUUUUUAGAUGCUCGGUUAUGGAUGGGCCGGUAUAUUCAGAAAGGUUCUCGUGGACUCUCCCUACAUGUGGUGGCCUUCAAAUCUUGUCCAGGUGUCUCUAUUCAGGUAUUUCUUUAUUUUUUCAAUCAUAGUUUUUAUGUGCAAAUUCUUGUUUUUCUUUCAUGUGAAUGGAAAAUGUGUAAGGUUAAUUAACUACAACUUCAUGGCUAAAUAUAUGACUAUCGAGUUUUUUCUUUGUUCCUUUUUAUAAUAACAUAAAUUUCAAAGGAAGAGUGAAUGAAGGUUUUAUUUAUAGAACAUACAUUUCAGAUAUUGAAAGUGUGUGACAAAGACCCGAUACAAACACAUGUGGUACAUUCAAUAUCAUUUUUCUUGAGUUAUUACUAGUUUCAAGCCGGUGUUUGCAUGAACUGUAUUUGUGUCGGUGCUUCAUAUAUUUACUAUUUAGGGUUAUGAUGUUGAUUUUUUUCCUCAUUGGUAAAUGAAUCUUGAAUGACACAGAGCAUUUCAUGAAAAAGAAAAGAGGCCUAAAGGAGGAAACACUAGGCUGCAAUUCUUUUUCCUGGUCUUUGUGGCUAGCUUUGCUUAUUACAUUAUUCCAGGCUACUUUUUCCAAGCAAUAUCAACCAUCUCUGUUGUUUGCUUAAUAUGGAAAAACUCCAUCACUGCUCAACAGAUUGGUUCAGGAAUGAAGGGUCUUGGUAUUGGUUCAUUUGCCCUCGAUUGGAACACUGUUGCUGGUUUCUUAGGAAGUCCUUUGGCUUAUCCUGGUUUUGCCAUCAUCAACAUGUUGGUUGGAUUUGUGUUGUAUAUCUAUGUUGUGAUUCCCAUUUCCUAUUGGAGCAAUUUUUAUGACGCCAAAAAGUUUCCCCUCAUCAGUCCUCACACAUUUGAUUUCACUGGUGCACCAUAUAAUGUUUCUAGGAUUCUUAAUCGGGCAACAUUUGACAUUGAUAUGGAUGCUUAUAACAAUUACAGCAAGCUUCAUAUUAGUAUCAUAUUUGCAUUCGAUUAUGGAUUGAGCUUCGCAAUUCUCACUGCCACCGUCUCACAUGUUUUCCUCUUCCAUGGAAA